rnacentral:rRNA from 1 species
CGCGUAGGCGGAUGUAUAAGUCAGAUGUGAAAUUCCGGGACUCAAUUCCGGAGCUGCAUUUGAAACUAUAGAUCUAGAGGGAUGGCGGAGAAAACGGAAUUCCACGUGUAGCGGUGAAAUGCGUAGAUAUGUGGAAGAACACCUGUGGCGAAAGCGGUUUUCUAGCUAUAACCUGACGCUGAGGCGCGAGAGCAAGGGGAGCAAACA